AGGGUUUGAUUCUGGCUCAGGAUGAACGCUGGCGGCGUGCUUAACACAUGCAAGUCGAACGAAGAUGCCGGAGUGCUUGCACUUUGGCAGACUGAGUGGCGGACGGGUGAGUAACGCGUGGGUAACCUGCCUUAUACAGGGGGAUAACAGUUGGAAACGACUGCUAAUACCGCAUAAGCGCACGGUAUCGCAUGAUACAGUGUGAAAAACUCCGGUGGUAUAAGAUGGACCCGCGUCUGAUUAGCUAGUUGGUGAGGUAACGGCCCACCAAGGCGACGAUCAGUAGCCGGCCUGAGAGGGUGAACGGCCACAUUGGGACUGAGACACGGCCCAA
rnacentral:rRNA from 1 species